AUAUCAAUAAGCGGAGGAAAAGAAACUAACAAGGAUUCCCCUAGUAACGGCGAGUGAAGCGGGAAGAGCUCAAAUUUGAAAUCUGGCAGUCUUCGAUUGUCCGAGUUGUAAUCUAUAGAGGCGUUUUCCGUGCCGGACCGUGUCCAAGUCUCCUGGAAAGGAGUAUCAAAGAGGGUGAUAAUCCCGUACUUAACACGACCACCGGUGCUCUGUGAUACGUCUUCUACGAGUCGAGUUGUUUGGGAAUGCAGCUCAAAAUGGGUGGUGAAUUCCAUCUAAAGCUAAAUAUUGGCGAGAGACCGAUAGCGAACAAGUACCGUGAGGGAAAGAUGAAAAGCACUUUGGAAAGAGAGUUAAACAGUACGUGAAAUUGUUGAAAGGGAAACGAUUGAAGUCAGUCGUGUUCUUUGGAUUCAGCCAGUUCUGCUGGUCUACUUCCUUUGAACGGGUCAACAUCAGUUUUGUCCGGUGGAUAAAGGUAGUAGGAAUGUGACUUCUCCGGAAGUGUUAUAGCCUAUUAUCACAUACACUGGGUGAGACUGAGGACUGCAGCUCGCCUUUAUGGCCGACCUUCGGGUACGUUCGAGCUUAGGAUGUUGACAUAAUGGCUUUAAACGAC
rnacentral:rRNA from 1 species